UUAGAGUUUGAUCCUGGCUCAGGACGAACGCUGGCGGCGUGCUUAACACAUGCAAGUCGAACGGUAAGGCUCCAGCUUGCUGGGGUACACGAGUGGCGAACGGGUGAGUAACACGUGGGUGACCUGCCCUGCACUUCGGGAUAAGCCUGGGAAACUGGGUCUAAUACCGGAUAGGACCGCACCGUGAGGGUGUGGUGGAAAGUUUUUUCGGUGUGGGAUGGGCCCGCGGCCUAUCAGCUUGUUGGUGGGGUAAUGGCCUACCAAGGCGGCGACGGGUAGCCGGCCUGAGAGGGUGGACGGCCACAUUGGGACUGAGACACGGCCCAGACUCCUACGGGAGGCAGCAGUGGGGAAUAUUGCACAAUGGGCGGAAGCCUGAUGCAGCGACGCCGCGUGGGGGAUGACGGCCUUCGGGUUGUAAACUCCUUUCACCAUCGACGAAGGGUUUCUGACGGUAGAUGGAGAAGAAGCACCGGCUAACUACGUGCCAGCAGCCGCGGUAAUACGUAGGGUGCGAGCGUUGUCCGGAAUUACUGGGCGUAAAGAGCUCGUAGGUGGUUUGUCGCGUCGUCUGUGAAAUUCCGGGGCUUAACUCCGGGCGUGCAGGCGAUACGGGCAUAACUUGAGUACUGUAGGGGAGACUGGAAUUCCUGGUGUAGCGGUGAAAUGCGCAGAUAUCAGGAGGAACACCGGUGGCGAAGGCGGGUCUCUGGGCAGUAACUGACGCUGAGGAGCGAAAGCAUGGGGAGCGAACAGGAUUAGAUACCCUGGUAGUCCAUGCCGUAAACGGUGGGCGCUAGGUGUGGGUUUCCUUCCACGGGAUCCGUGCCGUAGCUAACGCAUUAAGCGCCCCGCCUGGGGAGUACGGCCGCAAGGCUAAACUCAAAGGAAUUGACGGGGGCCCGCACAAGCGGCGGAGCAUGUGGAUUUGUGGAUUAAUUCGAUGCAACGCGAAGAACCUUACCUGGGCUUGACAUAUACAGGAUCGCGCCAGAGAUGGUGUUUCCCUUGUGGCUUGUAUACAGGUGGUGCAUGGUUGUCGUCAGCUCGUGUCGUGAGAUGUUGGGUUAAGUCCCGCAACGAGCGCAACCCUUGUCUUAUGUUGCCAGCACGUUGUGGUGGGGACUCGUAAGAAACUGCCGGGGUUAACUCGGAGGAAGGUGGGGAUGACGUCAAAUCAUCAUGCCCCUUAUGUCCAGGGCUUCACACAUGCUACAAUGGUCGGUACAGUGGGUUGCCAGUCCGUGAGGGCGAGCUAAUCCCGCAAAGCCGGUCUCAGUUCGGAUCGGGGUCUGCAACUCGACCCCGUGAAGUCGGAGUCGCUAGUAAUCGCAGAUCAGCAACGCUGCGGUGAAUACGUUCCCGGGCCUUGUACACACCGCCCGUCACGUCAUGAAAGUCGGUAACACCCGAAGCCAGUGGCCUAACACAUUUUGUGGGGGAGCUGUCGAAGGUGGGAUUGGCGAUUGGGACGAAGUCGUAACAAGGUA
rnacentral:rRNA from 1 species